UACGUAGGGGGCAAGCGUUGUCCGGAUUUAUUGGGCGUAAAGAGCGUGUAGGCGGCCUGAAAGGUCAGCUGUGAAAACUCGAGGCUCAACCUCGAGACGUCGGUUGAAACCAUCUGGCUAGAGUCCGGAAGAGGAGUGUGGAAUUCCCGGUGUAGCGGUGAAAUGCGCAGAUAUCGGGAAGAACACCCGUGGCGAAGGCGGCACUCUGGGACGGUACUGACGCUGAGACGCGAAAGCUAGGGGAGCAAACGGG
rnacentral:rRNA from 1 species